rnacentral:rRNA from 2 species
AAACUUUCCAACAACGGAUCUCUUGGUUCUGGCAUCGAUGAAGAACGCAGCGAAAUGCGAUAAGUAAUGUGAAUUGCAGAAUUCAGUGAAUCAUCGAAUCUUUGAACGCACAUUGCGCCCGCCAGUAUUCUGGCGGGCAUGCCUGUCCGAGCGUCAUUU